AACGAACGCUGGCGGCAUGCCUAACACAUGCAAGUCGAACGAGACCUUCGGGUCUAGUGGCGCACGGGUGCGUAACGCGUGGGAACCUGCCUUUAGGUUCGGAAUACCUCAGAGAAAUUUGAGCUAAUACCGGAUGAUGUCUUCUGACCAAAGAUUUAUCGCCUUUCGAUGGGCCCGCGUUGGAUUAGCUAGUUGGUGGGGUAAAGGCCUACCACGGCGACGAUCCAUAGCUGGUCUGAGAGGAGGAUCAGCCACACUGGGACUGAGACACGGCCCAGAAUCCUACGGGAGGAAGAAGUGGGGAAUAGUGGACAAUGGGCGAAAGAAUGAUCCAGCAAUGCCGCGUGAGUGAUGAAGGCAUUAGGGUUGUAAAGCUCUUUUAACCGAGAUGAUAAUGACAGUAUCGGGAGAAUAAGCUCCGGCUAACUCCGUG
rnacentral:rRNA from 1 species